CCUACGGGAGGCAGCAGUGGGGAAUAUUGGGCAAUGGAGGAAACUCUGACCCAGCAACGCCGCGUGAAGGAUGAAGGUUUUCGGAUUGUAAACUUCUGUCGCGACGGACGAAGACUGACGGUACCUCGUAAGAUAGCACCUGCUAACUACGUGCCAGCAGCCGCGGUAAUACGUAGGGGGCGAGAGUUGUCCGGAAUGACUGGGCGUAAAGGGAGUGUAGGCGGCAAUAUAAGUUAGAGGUGAAAUCCCGAGGCUCAACCGCGGAACUGCAUCGAAAACUAGAUAGCGUGAGUGCAGGAGAGGUGAGUGGAAUUCCUGGGGUAGCGGUGGAAUGCGUAGAUAUUAGGAGGAACACCAGAGGCGAAGGCGACUCACUGGACUGUAACUGACGCUGAGGCUCGAAAGCGUGGGGAGCAAACAGGAUUAGAUACCCGAGUAGUC
rnacentral:rRNA from 1 species